AUGAAGAGGCAAUCUCUUUUUUCAUCCUUACAAAUUUACAUUUGUCUGGCGCCAUACAUCAUUUUGCAAACAAUACUUGUAGCGUGCUUUUUUGCAAGUUGAAAUCAGUCUAUUGAAACAUAAAGGGAGGCAGCAGCACCUGUUGUUGACUGUGAGUAUUUGAAGGAGAUAGAAAGGAGUCGUCGUGAUCUUCGUGCUCUCAUCUCCAACAAAAAUGUGCUCCUAUCAUGCUUUGCUUAGCGUACGUGCUUCAUAUCAUUUUGUAAAUCAAACGAUUUCAUUAUUAAACAAUAUAGCUAAAACAAGACUGUUUUGAUAUGUAACAGAUCCUUAAUGUAUUGAUU
rnacentral:lncRNA from 1 species